rnacentral:rRNA from 1 species
UGGGGAAUCUUGGACAAUGGGCGAAAGCCUGAUCCAGCAAUGCCGCGUGAGUGAUGAAGGCCUUAGGGUUGUAAAGCUCUUUUACCCGGGAUGAUAAUGACAGUACCGGGAGAAUAAGCCCCGGCUAACUCCGUG